AUGAAUUGCUUAAGCUGGAACUGUCGGGGUGCAGCCAACAAACCGACAGUUCACGAGUUGGUGGGUCUUGCAAGGACCACCAAAGCAAACUUGGUCUUUUUGUGUGAAACUAGAAUAAAAGCUGAAAAAGUUCGUCGCUUAAGAGGUAGAUUGGGCCUGAGAGGUUUUGCAGGUUGUGAUAGUAAGGGUCUUAGUGGGGGUUUAGCCCUUUUUUGGAGUGAUCAGAUUUUUGUUGAUGUUCAAGAAGUAAAUGAAAGAUACAUUGAUGCGUACGUCCGUGUGUCUGAUAGUGAUCCACUUUGGCAUUUGACAUGUGUCUAUGGUGAGCCACGAGUGGAAAACCGUCAUUUGAUGUGGGAAAGUUUGCAAAGGCUAAAGGCAGGGUCCCAAUUACCGUGGUGUGUGAUUGGUGACUUUAACGAAGCCAUGUGGUCGUUUGAGCAUUUCUCUGCAACUCCACGUGGAGAAGACAGAUGUUGGCCUUGA
rnacentral:rRNA from 1 species